rnacentral:rRNA from 1 species
UACGGAGGGUGCAAGCGUUAAUCGGAAUUACUGGGCGUAAAGCGUGCGCAGGCGGUUUGUUAAGUCCGUUGUGAAAGCCCCGAGCUCAACUUGGGAAUUGCAGUGGAUACUGGCAGGCUGGAGUACGGUAGAGGAAGGUGGAAUUCCCGGUGUAGCAGUGAAAUGCGUAGAUAUCGGGAGGAACACCAGUGGCGAAGGCGGCUCACUGGCUCGUAUCUGACGCUCAGGCGCGAUAGCGUGGGGAUCAAACAGG